GGAAUCUGAAAGGCAGUAGCACUGAGAGCUCCAGUGCAGUGCUCCGUGCUGUAUCGAUGCAGUACACUCCAUCAAGGCUGCAGUGCAGGCUGCACAGAGCCUUAAACUCGCACAAGGGAUUUGUGAGCAGCCUGCUUGUUGAGAACAAAUCCUCAUCGAAAGGAACGCAUGACUUGCUGACCCUGGGUUCACAGAGCCUUCGUCCUGGCGCUUCCGCACUGCUGAGGAGUCGGCUGCUCUGAAAAUUGGAGUCCCCAGACUGGAAUGGAAGCUCCAACAAAGGACCUGUACGGUUUACAAAUACGCAUCGACUGGGGGACUUUGGGAGAGCUUUGUAAGAACGAUGGCAUUAGGAAAAGAGAGUGUUUCACAGGCAAGAAACCAGCGGAGGUCUAAGUUGAUAAAAAACAUGCUUCUGAAAAUGUGGGAUUUCCUCUUUGUAUUUUG
rnacentral:lncRNA from 1 species